rnacentral:lncRNA from 1 species
UCUACCACAAAUGAUGCACAAUUUAGAUUUUUGUCCCACUUAACAUAUUAAGAAUGUACUCCAAAUCACUCAUAUCACACCACAAGUCUUUAAUGAAUAUAACAGAGAAAUUACUCACACAACACUUGCAACCCAAAAACCAAUGAAAGGGUAUGCAUUUAAAAAAAAUAAGAAAACAAGUCAAUAAAUGAAAAAUAAGAAAACAUAAGUAAA